GGGGAUUUAGCUCAGUGGUAGAGCGCUUGCCUAGCAAGCGCAAGGCCCUGGGUUCGGUCCCUAGCUCCCA
rnacentral:tRNA from 1 species